AUUUUAAGGAAGAUAAGGCAAAGAAACUUCCGUUGUUUUUAUCUACAAAAUUCAUAUGCAAGAACUGUUAUCCUAUGGCUCAUUUUUUUUAGAGAAAUUCAGGUACGCCCUAUGUAGAAGUCACGGCAUCCUGCAGCCUUUCACCUGCAUCCCCCCGGACCAGUAUCCUCAAGUCAAGCUGUGGCCAGGAGCACAGCCUUCCCAUCAACAGAGAUGGCUGUGAGCCUCCCUCUGCAGAUAAGUUGGGGCGAGGGGAGCUGGUGGGAGCAGCACUGGGGGAGGGGUGGGCCUGGCUGGCUCACCAGCAGGCUUGUCCUGGCUGAGAAGCUCCCGGGUCCGUUCUUUGUAACAGGAGGGGACUGGCCUCUUGUUACGCCACGGUCUCUGCAGCAGUAUCAACCCCCACUUUCCAUCCUCACUAGAUUCAAAAGGCCACUGGAACUGCCAAGGAGAGGCCUUCCUGGGCUGUUGGUGUGCGGAGGAUUCCAAUUAACUGCCCUUGCCCAUACGCCGCCAUCUCCUAGGUGGAGCACUUGACUGCUUGGCUAGUAAGUGAUCCAUGGACAUGAUGCAAGGAUUUUGAUGAGCUGUGUUACCUCCAGGUCUCAGUCUCAACUGAUCUGCAACUAACUGCAGUAGAAACCUGGCAACCCAGUGGAGAGGUAGUGAGACCUGCCACUUGGAGGAAUUGAGAACAAGAUUCCGUACACCAGGCUGUGCUCAGCUGCUGUGUGUGUGUUCGGUCUGCCGGGGACUUCUGGCAUCCAGGUGCAACAGGAGAGGCUUCUAAAGAUGUCCAACACAAACAUCCCCACAUGAGAAAGAGCGAACACAGGUCACUGAAACAAAGGAAAAGGUGGAGGGGCGCGCACACACAAAGGGAGCAUCCAUCUGAGAGACGGAGAAGCAAAACGUCAGCGGGAAAAACCACAACCCGGUUCCCAAAGACUAUGAAAGCUGAUCUGAUGUAAAGACUCAACUAAAACCGGAUUCUACAGCAUUCUACAGAAAUACACAGCCGUCAGUCACUCUGGGUUGUAGGUUAGACAGGGGCUUGAUACAGAAAGGCUGUGUGUCUUACAAAGGCCAAAAGGUCAUGCUACCGGGAGAUCAACGUCAACAGCAAAGAGUCCGUGAAGCAGUCUGUAGAGAAAGAGACAAGGGGUCCAGUCUGACCAUUUUCCUUGAUUUAAAACACCAACCAACCAACCAACAAACCCUCCAACAUGUUUAAUAAUGUUGAGGUGGGGCAAGAUGGAGCAGCACGGCAGGGGGAUCAGGAAUCCAGGGGAAGCCUAGCCCGGGCCUCCUGGGAGGCCUCACCCCUGGGGACCCUGACCCAGCCAGGUCUGCAGAUCUGCCCUCCCCUCAGCCACUCCUGCCCAUUUCUCCACAUCACUCCCCUUCUUUCUCCCGCCCUCUUGGAGGGGGAGCCCUUUUGGAGGGGAGGAGCAGCUUCAGCUCUGCAGGUGACCUUGUGCUUUGCACGGUCCCUCCCCUCAGCUGCUUGCAGAAAGCAGCCAGAGUCUCUCUUUGCUCUGACUCUUGUUAACAUGAAUAAAGAAAACUCAGGAGACAGACAGUGGAUUGGUCGGAGCAAUGAUUCUUCUAAAUUCUUGAAAUUAACCACCUCUACCACCCAAAAGAGAAGCAUCCUUAAUUUUUCUGUUGGGAGUAUAGGGCAGGGAGACAUUUGGGAUGUUGGCCAUUUUUUAAAGGGUUUUGGAAUUCGCACAAGAGCGGGACAGAACUGACAGCACACAGCCUCAGCGGGUGGGUGCAGAGGAAAAGGCUGGACUAAGGCCAGGCCUUCCCUUGUCCUCUCCCUGCUCACAGAAAUGGGUCUGAGUGUAAAAUCAUGUGGCUGUUCUUAAAAGGAUGGACUCCCAAAUCAGGACUGUCAUCGUGGUGCGCGCGCGCGCAUGUGUGUGCACGCGCGUGCACAUAAGUGCAUGCUCAGGUGCUGUCCCAGGAAAACCUUGAUGAUCAAUGAAUUGUCGGUCAGUUCUGUCUGAAGCUCCUUCUAGUACAAACUAAAAAAAACAAUAUAUAUUUGUCUAUAUAUAAGGUUUGUUAUGCCUUUUUAAAGUUAAUUUACCAACUUGCAUUUGUUUGUUAGUGGGGUCUGUGCAUGUAUGUGUGCAAGCUUUUCUGUGAAUGCUGGAAU